GCCCGCCUAGCUCAAUCGGAUAGAGCGUCAGACUUUUACGGUCGGGUCGGUUUAACCGAUUGUGUUAUCUGAAGGCUGCGGGUUCGACCCCCGCGGUGGGCU
rfam:Laetiporus sulphureus 93-53 unplaced genomic scaffold LAESTscaffold_8, whole genome shotgun sequence.